rnacentral:rRNA from 1 species
GAGUUUGAUCGUGGCUCAGGAUGAACGCUGGCGGCGUGCCUAAUACAUGCAAGUCGAGCGAACGGACGAGAAGCUUGCUUCUCUGAUGUUAGCGGCGGACGGGUGAGUAACACGUGGAUAACCUACCUAUAAGACUGGGAUAACUUCGGGAAACCGGAGCUAAUACCGGAUAAUAUUUUGAACCGCAUGGUUCAAAAGUGAAAGACGGUCUUGCUGUCACUUAUAGAUGGAUCCGCGCUGCAUUAGCUAGUUGGUAAGGUAACGGCUUACCAAGGCAACGAUGCAUAGCCGACCUGAGAGGGUGAUCGGCCACACUGGAACUGAGACACGGUCCAGACUCCUACGGGAGGCAGCAGUAGGGAAUCUUCCGCAAUGGGCGAAAGCCUGACGGAGCAACGCCGCGUGAGUGAUGAAGGUCUUCGGAUCGUAAAACUCUGUUAUUAGGGAAGAACAUAUGUGUAAGUAACUGUGCACAUCUUGACGGUACCGUAAUCAGAAAGCCACGGCUAACUACGUCG